UCCCGGGAGCUGUUGAGAAAGUCCGGAGGGGGCGGCUCCUCGGCGUCCGGCCGCCCCCAGCGCCGAGGGGCGGGGCGCGCCGCCGGGGUCCACGGCGCUUCCCGGGGCCCGAGCGCGAAGUGCUUCAGAGAAACUCGGAUCCUGACCCUACGAUGUCUACUCUGCCUGAGCGGUGUCUGCCUCCUGUUUGGAUUGGAACCAUGGCAUCCGGGGCGAAGGCACGAUGGGAUAAAGCCCCAGACCCCAACAUCUGGUGAGGAGGAGCCUGGCAUGUGGCCAGGAUCAUCUCUGUGGUGUGAGGACUGAACACAGACGUUGGCUCCUGAUGACUGCUGGGUGCCCCUGCUCCCGACCCCCAGAACAGAAUCCAGGUCCUUUCGGGGCUGAAGUUCAUCCAGAGAAAACCAAUUCCCUUGUUGACUUAGGCCUUCCUGUUUCUGAACAUCAACACUGUCUCCAGUUGUAUUCAUAUGUUUUGGGUAGAAACUAAUCUCUUAGCUAAUGAGAAAGCACGAGGAUGGAAGACCGUGUACACCACCAUGAAUAUGCAAUCCACAAAGUCCAGCUUGUGAGAAACUCUGGGAGACAAAUGACCCAGAUUCUGAGGGAAAAAAGCAGGAGAACAGAGGGGGAGGGGAACGAGCAGCAUAAAGAGGCGCAGGAACCAGCUGGUGCCCAGGCUUCAGUGAUCUCGGGUCGUCUGCUGUUUCAAAAGGGAAUUUUUACUUCCGGGAAGGUGCUUGAUGUACUUUUCCUAUUCUUCUAGCCAAGUACAACUUAA